CCUACGGGAGGCAGCAGUGGGGAAUAUUGCACAAUGGGGGAAACCCUGAUGCAGCCAUGCCGCGUGUGUGAAGAAGGCCUUCGGGUUGUAAAGCACUUUCAGUCAUGAGGAAAGGUUGGUAGUUAAUACCUGCCAGCUGUGACGUUAAUGACAGAAGAAGCACCGGCUAACUCCGUGCCAGCAGCCGCGGUAAUACGGAGGGUGCGAGCGUUAAUCGGAAUUACUGGGCGUAAAGCGCACGCAGGCGGAUUGUUAAGCUAGAGGUGAAAGCCCCGCGCUCAACGUGGGAAUGGCCUUUAGAACUGGCAGUCUAGAGUCUUGGAGAGGGGAGUGGAAUUCCAGGUGUAGCGGUGAAAUGCGUAGAGAUCUGGAGGAACAUCAGUGGCGAAGGCGACUCCCUGGCCAAAGACUGACGCUCAUGUGCGAAAGUGUGGGUAGCGAACAGGAUUAGAUACCCUGGUAGUCCACACCGUAAACGCUGUCUAUUAGCUGUUUGUGUAUCUGAUACGUGAGUAGCGAAGCUAACGCGCUAAAUAGACCGCCUGGGGAGUACGGCCGCAAGGUUAAAACUCAAAGGAAUUGACGGA
rnacentral:rRNA from 1 species